rnacentral:rRNA from 1 species
AACGAACGCUGGCGGCAGGCCUCAAACAUGCAAGUCUAGGGGGUGGUAGCAAUACAUCACCGGCGGACGGGUGCGUAACGCGUGGGAAUAUACCUAUUGGUUCGGAACAACUGAGGGAAACUUCAGCUAAUACCGGAUGAGCCCUAACGGGGAAAGAUUUCUCGCCAAUAGAUUAGCCCGCGUCCGAUUAGCUAGUUGGUGGGGUAAAAGCCUACCAAGGCGACGAUCGGUAGCUGUUCUGAGAGGAAGAUCAGCCACACUGGGACUGAGACACGGCCCAGACUCCUACGGGAGGCAGCAGUUGGGAAUCUUGGACAAUGGGGGAAACCCUGAUCCAGCCAUGCCGCGUGAGUGAUGAAGGCCUUCGGGUUGUAAAACUCUUUCGACGGGGACGAUAAUGACGGUACCCGUAGAAGAAGCUCCGGCUAACUUCGUGCCAGCAGCCGCGGUAAU